rnacentral:rRNA from 1 species
ACGCUGGCGGCAUGCCUAACACAUGCAAGUCGAACGGCAGCAUGUUCUUUCUUCGGAAAGAAUGAUGGCGAGUGGCGGACGGGUGAGUAACGCGUGGGAAUCUGCCUUAAAGUGGGGAAUAACUUGGGGAAACUCAAGCUAAUACCGCAUAAUCUCUACGGAGCAAAGCUGGGGAUCUUUCGGGACCUGGCGCUUUAAGAUGAGCCUGCGUCAGAUUAGCUAGUUGGUAGGGUAAAGGCCUACCAAGGCGAUGAUCUGUAGCUGGUCUGAGAGGAUGAUCAGCCACACUGGGACUGAGACACGGCCCAGACUCCUACGGGAGGCAGCAGUGGGGAAUAUUGGACAAUGGGCGAAAGCCUGAUCCAGCAAUGCCGCGUGUGUGAAGAAUGCCUUCGGGUUGUAAAGCACUUUCAGUAAGGAAGAAAACUCAGGAGUUAAUACCUCUUGAGCCUGACGUUACUUACAGAAGAAGCACCGGCUAACUCUGUGCCAGCAGCCGCGGUAAUACAGAGGGUGCGAGCGUUAAUCGGAAUUAUUGGGCGUAAAGCGCGUGUAGGCGGAAGAUUAAGUUAGUUGUGAAAUACAUGGGCUCAACCUGUGGACUGCAUCUAAAACUGGUUUUCUAGAGUAUGGUAGAGGGAAGUGGAAUUUCCGGUGUAGCGGUGGAAUGCAUAGAUAUCGGAAGGAACCUCAGUGGCGAAGGCGGCUUCCUGGACCAAUACUGACGCUGAGACGCGAAAGCGUGGGUAGCAAACAGGAUUAGAUACCCUGGUAGUCCACGCCGUAAACGAUGAGAACUAGGCGUUGGGAUGUAUAUCUUAGUGCCGUAGCUAACGCGUUAAGUUCUCCGCCUGGGGAGUACGGCC